AACGAACGCUGGCGGCAGGCUUAACACAUGCAAGUCGAACGAUAUAGCGGCAGACGGGUGAGUAAUGCGUGGGAAUGUGCCUUUUGGUUCGGAAUAGCCCCGGGAAACUGGGAGUAAUACCGGAUAAGCCCUUCGGGGGAAAGAUUUAUCGCCAAAAGAUCAGCCCGCGUUAGAUUAGCUAGUUGGUGAGGUAACGGCUCACCAAGGCGACGAUCUAUAGCUGGUCUGAGAGGACGACCAGCCACACUGGAACUGAGACACGGUCCAGACUCCUACGGGAGGCAGCAGUGGGGAAUCUUGGACAAUGGGCGAAAGCCUGAUCCAGCCAUGCCGCGUGAAUGAUGAAGGCCUUAGGGUUGUAAAAUUCUUUCAGCAGGGAAGAUAAUGACGGUACCUGCAAAAGAAGCCCCGGCUAACUCCGUGCCAGCAGCCGCGGUAAUACGGAGGGGGCUAGCGUUGUUCGGAAUUACUGGGCGUAAAGCGCUCGUAGGCGGAUAGGUAAGUCAGAUGUGAAAUCCCAGGGCUCAACCCUGGAACUGCAUUUGAAACUGCCAAUCUAGAGUUCAGGAGAGGUAAGCGGAAUUCCGAGUGUAGAGGGAAAAUUCGUAGAUAUUCGGUGGAACACCAGUGGCGAAGGCGGCUAACUGGACUGAUACUGACGCUGAGGUGCGAAAGUGUGGGGAGCAAACAGGAUUAGAUACCCUGGUAGUCCACACCGUAAACGAUGAGUGCUAGUUGUCUGCAGGCAUGCCUGUAGGUGACGCAGCUAACGCAUUAAGCACUCCGCCUGGGGAGUACGGCCGCAAGGUUAAAACUCAAAGAAAUUGACGGGGGCCCGCACAAGCGGUGGAGCAUGUGGUUUAAUUCGAAGCAACGCGCAGAACCUUACCUACGCUUGACAUGCCCGGACGAUUUCCACCAGAGAUGGAUCUCUCCCUUCGGGGCCGGUGCACAGGUGCUGCAUGGCUGUCGUCAGCUCGUGUCGUGAGAUGUUGGGUUAAGUCCCGCAACGAGCGCAACCCUCAUCCUUAGUUGCCAUCAGGUUUGGCUGGGCACUCUAAGGAAACUGCCGGUGACAAGCCGGAGGAAGGCGGGGAUGACGUCAAGUCCUCAUGGCCCUUAUGGGCUGGGCUACACACGUGCUACAAUGGCGGUGACAGGGGGAGAAUCCCGAAACGCCGUCUCAGUUCGGAUUGCACUCUGCAACUCGAGCGCAUGAAGUCGGAAUCGCUAGUAAUCGUGGAUCAGCAUGCCACGGUGAAUACGUUCCCGGGCCUUGUACACACCGCCCGUCACACCAUGGGAGUUGGCUUUACCCGAAGCCGGUGCGCUAACCGCAAGGGCAGCGAGCCACGGUAGGAUCAGCGACUGGGAUG
rnacentral:rRNA from 1 species